UACGAAGGGGGCUAGCGUUGUUCGGAAUUACUGGGCGUAAAGCGCACGUAGGCGGAUAUUUAAGUCAGGGGUGAAAUCCCGGGGCUCAACCUCGGAACUGCCUUUGAUACUGCAAAUCUCGAGUCCGAUAGAGGUGGGUGGAAUUCCUAGUGUAGAGGUGAAAUUCGUAGAUAUUAGGAAGAACACCGGUGGCGAAGGCGGCCCACUGGAUCGGUACUGACGCUGAGGUGCGAAAGCGUGGGGAGCAAACAGG
rnacentral:rRNA from 1 species